rnacentral:rRNA from 1 species
CCUACGGGAGGCAGCAGUGGGGAAUAUUGCACAAUGGGGGAAACGCUGAUGCAGCGACGCCGCGUGAGUGAAGAAGUAUUUCGGUAUGGAAAGCUCUAUCAGCAGGGAAGAAAAUGACGGUACCUGAUUAAGAAGCCCCGGCUAACUACGUGCCAGCAGCCGCGGUAAUACGGAGGGGGCAAGCGUUAUCCGGAUUUACUGGGUGUAAAGGGAGCGUAGACGGCAGCACCAGUCUGGAGGGAAAGGCCGGGGCUUAACCCCGGAACUGCUUUGGAAACUGUGCAGCUAGAGUGCAGGAGAGGUAAGUGGAAUUCCUAGUGUAGCGGUGAAAUGCGUAGAUAUUAGGAGGAACACCAGUGGCGAAGGCGGCUUACGGGACUGUAACUGACGUUGAGGCUCGAAAGCGUGGGGAGCAAACAGGAUUAGAUACCCUUGUAGUC